AACGAACGCUGGCGGCAGGCCUAACACAUGCAAGUCGAGCGAGAUCUUCGAGUCUAGCGGCGGACGGGUGAGUAACGCGUGGGAAUAUGCCUCUUGGUACGGAAUAGCCUCGGGAAACUGGGAGUAAUACCGUAUGUGCCCUUUGGGGGAAAGAUUUAUCGCCAAGAGAUUAGCCCGCGUUGGAUUAGGUAGUUGGUGGGGUAAUGGCCUACCAAGCCGACGAUCCAUAGCUGGUUUGAGAGGAUGAUCAGCCACACUGGGACUGAGACACGGCCCAGACUCCUACGGGAGGCAGCAGUGGGGAAUCUUAGACAAUGGGGGCAACCCUGAUCUAGCCAUGCCGCGUGAGUGAUGAAGGCCUUAGGGUUGUAAAGCUCUUUCAGCUGGGAAGAUAAUGACGGUACCAGCAGAAGAAGCCCCGGCUAACUCCGUG
rnacentral:rRNA from 1 species